GUCGCUCGGCAACAGGCCCUAGAGAAACAAAGGAAGAUGACAUCCACGGGUUGAAUAUUCUUGCGGAAAACAGCGCUUCCUUUAUUGCGACUCUGAACAAAGAUGACGUCAGCGAUGCCAAGGCUUAUAAAUACAUGAGGCGAGUGGACGCGACAUCAGAGGACAAAGCGACAGUGGGCGGGAACGAAGCAGACGACAAGGCAGACGGUUCUGAAACUUCGGACUCUUCAACAACAGACUCCUUCGACAGCAAAAACAAAACCGACAAAGAAGGACUGGUAAAAAGUAAUGGCAAUGAUGACAAAGAAAUACAAGGUUUUGAUAAUCCGACAAGCAGACUAUAGAAAUGAUUACCAAAAAAAAAAAUGGCAAUAAGGAACAAAAAUCUCUACUUUGACCGCAGGCUAUAACAAAAAAAAAAAUAUCCUAAGAUUUCAGUAAUCGGACAAUCUAGUUGUAACUCCAAGGUAACGAAAUUUGCACUAGCGGACAAUAAGGAAUAUAAUUCUCCAAUUUUUGGAUAAUUUAACAAGCAGACAGUACCGAUGAUGCCAAAUAUCUAUCUGGAAAACAGGCUGUGAAUAUAAGGAUUCAACCAAAAACACAACAAGUAGACAUUAGGAAAGAAUAGAAUGCAUGGUGUUUAAUCUAUCCGAUAAUAGAGAAUUUAUCCAUAUUCUUUAGAAAAAUUAUUGCUUAAAAUGAAAAACAUACUUAUAUUAUUCAUACAUUACAUCAUAAAUGAAGGCUUACAUCAGUCAGUUCCAACAAAGAACUUAAAUAAAUCAAAUUAUGUUUAAUAUAGCUGUUUUAGUACGACACUGUUAUUUCCAUUUGAAAUGCAUUGCCUUACUUCGUUAUCUGUAUUUAUUAUUUCAUGCAUUAAUACUCUGCUCAAUAACAUUGUUGCAGACUAAAACAUGGACUUAUGAAAAUAGCAACUUUAGAAAUUAUUUACAAGGUGUGUUAUCAUUCCAGAAAGAAUGUAAGUGUAAAAAUAUAACAUUCUGUCAUGUUAAUCAAAAGUUGAUUGAAAGUUAUCGUGUCUAAGUUUGCCAUAGUUUAAUGACAAUGUGGUUCUCUGGUGAUUAGACAGUUUUGAAAAGUGGCCUUCUAAGUACUUGUACAAUCCACAUAAUGAUGCAUGA